CAGGAACCCUUUAGGACUGUUCAUCUUGUUUUGAAAUCUCUUCAUCUAUCAACAUCUGAGAUUAUGCUAAUGAAGUGACAUCGCCUAUAUAACCCCAGAGGAACCCAGAGGAACCAACCAUUAUGACUGGAAUGGAGGAACCUGUGUGCCACACUCAGACCCCUGGAGAAAACAAAGUGAUACAGAUUGGGUUACUCCCCAAUAGCCAAUGGCUUCUUCACACACAUCUACCUUUGAAACCUCAAUGAGAAACUAAAUAAGGAGGUACAGGGAAGGUUUGUGAUUGGUGGACAAUGGUAUUUUUUGCUAAGGUGAUGGUACACACCAACUCCUCAAUGGGAUAAGAAGCUCCUAUCUAGGGUAGUUUGGGAUCUCCCCCUGAAUGUCAUUUGUGUCCCUGACAAUAUCCUGUAUAAUAA
rnacentral:lncRNA from 1 species